CAGCAGUAGCCGCGGGAAUACGAAGGGUGCAAGCGUUACUCGGAAUUACUGGGCGUAAAGCGUGCGUAGGUGGUGGUUUAAGUCCGUUGUGAAAGCCCUGGGCUCAACCUGGGAAUUGCAGUGGAUACUGGGUCACUAGAGUGUGGUAGAGGAUAGUGGAAUUUCCGGUGUAGCAGUGAAAUGCGUAGAGAUCGGAAGGAACAUCUGUGGCGAAGGCGACUAUCUGGGCCAACACUGACACUGAGGCACGAAAGCGUGGGGAGCAAACAGGAUUAGAUACCCCGGUAGUCCCUGUCUCUUAUAC
rnacentral:rRNA from 1 species